UUGGAAUUAAAUGAAUUACUGUUAUGGAUUUGUGAAUUAUAUUAAAUUUAUUAUUAUUUGUAUAAAAACGUUGCUCAUUUUUGUCCGGAAUCACCCUCCAAACAUGUGUUUUAAAACUUAUUUUGCAUAUGCCAUUUUUUCAGUAUAGUUUCUUUAGUUUUGGUUGUACAUCAAGUGUCCGGAGUUACCCGCCGUUCGGGGUUAUCCGACUUUCCUCUAACGAUCAGCUACUAAUUUAACAACAAAAUGUAUUUACAAUACAAAAUACAUCCUUCAAAUUGGUACAACUUCAAAAUCUACGAUUUGUGGUGAAAUAGGUUUGGAAAUGGUGGUCCAAACUUUUACGUUUUUGCAGUUAAAGUCCACAGUCAAACAUUUCGAGCAAUGGAUUAAAAAGAAGAACAAGGUACCUUAUUUGAUGAUGAAGAUCAUUAGUGCUUCAACCUUCAAGGUGAAGCAACAAAAAGAAGUUGCAGAUGAAGCAGAUCCGUCGGGAUUUGGAUAUGUUGAUGAGAAUGUACUAUUUCAUGAAGACAACGAUGAAAAAGAUGAAUAUAAUGAAGAUAAAGAAUGAAGAUUUAUUUUGUAUUAUUCAUUGUAAAACUUUUAAUGUUAUGAAUUGUUUGUAACUUUGUAUAAACGUCGACUCGUAAAUUCAUAGCAAUAAUAAAAGGUAUACUUUAUAUUUUACACAAUAUAUUGUGUAAAACAUGGUCUUG